GGGGAAUUAGCUCCAAUGGUAGAGCGCUCACUUAGCAUGCGAGAGGUAGCGGGAUCGAUACCCGCAUUCUCCA
rnacentral:tRNA from 1 species